GCCCCUAUAGCUCAACUGAAUAGAGCGUUGGCCUCCGGAGCCAAAGGUUGCAGGU
rnacentral:tRNA from 1 species